GGGAAUUUUUCCGCAAUGGGCGAAAGCCUGACGGAGCAACGCCGCGUGAGGGAUGAAGGCCUCUGGGCUGUAAACCUCUUUUAUCAAGGAAGAAGAUCUGACGGUACUUGAUGAAUAAGCCACGGCUAAUUCCGUGCCAGCAGCCGCGGUAAUACGGGAGUGGCAAGCGUUAUCCGGAAUUAUUGGGCGUAAAGCGUCCGCAGGCGGUCUUGUAAGUCUGUCGUUAAAGCGUGGAGCUUAACUCCAUUUCGGCGGUGGAAACUGCAAGACUAGAGUGUGGUAGGGGCAGAGGGAAUUCCCGGUGUAGCGGUGAAAUGCGUAGAUAUCGGGAAGAACACCAGUGGCGAAGGCGCUCUGCUGGGCCAUAACUGACGCUCAUGGACGAAAGCUAGGGGAGCGAAAGGGAUUAGAUACCCCAGUAGUC
rnacentral:rRNA from 1 species